rnacentral:rRNA from 1 species
CUAAUACCGCAUACGUCCUACGGGAGAAAGCAGGGGAUCUUCGGACCUUGCGCUAUCGGAUGAGCCUAUGUCGGAUUAGCUUGUUGGUGAGGUAAUGGCUCACCAAGGCGACGAUCCGUAGCUGGUCUGAGAGGAUGAUCAGCCACAUCGGGACUGAGACACGGCCCGAACUCCUACGGGAGGCAGCAGUGGGGAAUAUUGGACAAUGGGCGAAAGCCUGAUCCAGCCAUGCCGCGUGUGUGAAGAAGGCUUUCGGGUUGUAAAGCACUUUCAGUGAGGAAGAAAGCCUUGGGGCUAAUACCCCCAAGGGACGACAUCACUCACAGAAGAAGCACCGGCUAACUCCGUGCCAGCAGCCGCGGUAAUACGGAGGGUGCGAGCGUUAAUCGGAAUUACUGGGCGUAAAGCGCGCGUAGGCGGCCUGAUAAGCCGGUUGUGAAAGCCCCGGGCUCAACCUGGGAACGGCAUCCGGAACUGUCAGGCUAGAGUGCAGGAGAGGAAGGUAGAAUUCCCGGUGUAGCGGUGAAAUGCGUAGAGAUCGGGAGGAAUACCAGUGGCGAAGGCGGCCUUCUGGACUGACACUGACGCUGAGGUGCGAAAGCGUGGGUAGCAACAGGAUUAGAUACCCUGGUAGUCCACGCCGUAAACGAUGUCGACUAGCCGUUGGGGUCUUUGAGACCU